UAAGUGCAUUCCGAGCUUACGUCAGAUCACGGUCCCAAAGACCGGUCAAGUCUGGUAGUAAAAUGGUAACAAAUAUUUGCCAUUUCAAGUAGAGAUAACCCUAGAUAAAUCACGGCCAGUUCGCGACUAAACUAAGCUACCACUGCUUAGUUGCCCACUCCGCGUCUUUCAAGCUAAACAAUCGGCGUAAAUACAUUACUUUUCUUAUUUUGCAAGCUCGGAAAGCGCUCGUCUAGCAGGGAACCGCCUCUACGUGUAGCUUGCUCAACAACAGGCUGCUCAGACCUGGGUUCAAAGGGUUGAGCCUGUCUAGACGAUAAAACCAGGCCGUCGACGUUGAACGGCCGGCGUGGCGGCCAUUCCACCUGAAACUAUAAGAUGUUUUAGUCCUGUUGGUUAUAUGGUCGAAGUCGAGUCCUACCAGAUAAACAUGAGUAUUUAAUGUCCUUUUAAAUUGAGAGAGCCGAUGUCUACUUAGUUCUAGAUUCACUAUUUUCAAGCAAGCUUAAUGAAACCAAAAGCGGAAACUUCACAAACAAUUCGUGAGAGCUCAAUGGGGAAGCCAACAAUCAUGCUGAACCCUUGUAUCCAUCCAUGAGCAGCUGUGAAAGACAACACCAGUCAACUUGAAAAAAAAAACAAUUAUAGGGGUCGAAGUGAGUGCUACCCGUUGUGUUGGAAGAUACGGUACAAGUGAUGUCUCCGCCCUAUUUCGACGCUUAUAUUAAGUCACGUCGAGAAACAAGUUUCUACUGAAACAGGUAAACACUGCCUUCAGAGAAGACAAAUCACGAAACUCAAACGUACCGAAAGCUGAUUCUUAUCUCUAGAGGUUGUAUUACUAAAUAUUCAUAGAAGACAAACAUCACAUCACUGAAACAUGGAGGAAGCCAAUUCUUGUUUUUAGGAGGGUCCACUUCUAAAUUUUAUCUUCAGAGAAGACAAACAUCACGCCACUUAAACAUGGAGAAAGCAAAUUCUUAUCUUCAGAGAAGACAAAAAUCACACCACUGAAAAAUGGAGGAAGCUAAUUCCUGUUUAUAGGAGGGU